rnacentral:lncRNA from 1 species
AUCACCGGAUGUGCCUUCAUUGUUUCUCUUGGCAUGUAAUGGUACAUUAUAUUUGACACCUGCAGGUUGCACCAGUGACGAGCAAGGAAGCUUUAAGAAAGAGAGAGUUGUUAUCGCAAUGAAAGGGGCCGAGCCGUGGUAUGUUCAUCGAAACAAGCAACAGAGAGUAGAGCAGCAAUGUUGACUCAGCUCGAAGCAUGUAAACAAAACCCGAGCCCACCACAACGCUUCCCACGCCUGUGUACCUACGCACUGUACUGGUCUGUGGUGUCUCUUGCCUCUGAUGAUGUCCUCACAGAUUCCAGAAGGUAGAAGAGACGGUUAAAGGAGAUAAAUGAAGAGACCAAACGAAGGAAGGUCGUCGUUUGGCCCACUCGCCUAUUGCAGAUUGAAGGUGACAGACAGAAAGGUCGGAGCCGCCGCUGGUAGCCCGCGAAAGAGGGAAAGAGAGAAAGAGAGACGUAACAACACAGGCAAUCGGCGGAGGAGAGGCAUAAACAACACCACCACAGCGAUAACUCAUUAAAACACAGACGGAAGGAUAAACAAGAAGGAAAAAAAUACAUGUAAAUAAAUAAUACAAGUAAGAACAAAUUAUUAUCCAAAAGAAAGAAGAAAAAAAGGAAAAUUGAAGAUGAUAAAUGGAGAAAUAA